rnacentral:lncRNA from 1 species
GGCAGGCUGUUUUUCCUACUGAGUCACCCUUCUUGUUCCUUCUUUCUCCUUGAUGUUUGCUCCCCUCCCCUGAACUUGUGUAAAGCAGGUAUUUCAGUUUAUUUUCUGAGGUUAAAAAGGUUUCGGCCGAGUCCAGCUCGUCCAUGAACUCCAACACCCCACUGGUGAGGAUAACGACACGUCUGUCCUCAACGGCGGACACCCCGAUGCUAGCAGGGGUCUCUGAGUACGAGUUGCCAGAGGAUCCAAAGUGGGAAUUCCCCAGAGAUAAGCUGACGCUGGGCAAACCCCUGGGGGAAGGCUGCUUCGGGCAAGUAGUCAUGGCUGAAGCGGUGGGAAUCGAUAAGGACAGACCCAAGGAGGCAGUCACCGUGG